UCGAGCGCACCUUCGGUGAGCGGCGGACGGGUUAGUAACGCGUGGGAAUAUGCCCAAAGUACGGAAUAGCCUCUGGAAACGGAGAGUAAUACCGUAUGUGCCCUUCGGGGGAAAGAUUUAUCGCCUUUGGAUUAGCCCGCGUUGGAUUAGGUAGUUGGUGGGGUAAUGGCCUACCAAGCCUACGAUCCAUAGCUGGUUUGAGAGGAUGAUCAGCAACACUGGGAACUGAGACACGGCCCAGACUCCUACGGGAGGCAGCAGUAGGGAAUCUUAGACAAUGGGCGAAAGCCUGAUCUAGCCAUGCCGCGUGAGUGAAGAAGGCCCUAGAGUCGUAAAGCUCUUUCGCCAGGGAUGAUAAUGACAGUACCUGGUAAAGAAACCCCGGCUAACUCCGUGCCAGCAGCCGCGGUAAUACGGAGGGGGUUAGCGUUGUUCGGAAUUACUGGGCGUAAAGCGUACGUAGGCGGAUUAGUCAGUCAGAGGUGAAAUCCCAGGGCUCAACCCUGGAACUGCCUUUGAUACUGCUAGUCUUGAGUUCGAGAGAGGUGAGUGGAAUUCCAAGUGUAGAGGUGAAAUUCGUAGAUAUUUGGAGGAACACCAGUGGCGAAGGCGGCUCACUGGCUCGAUACUGACGCUGAGGUACGAAAGUGUGGGGAGCAAACAGGAUUAGAUACCCUGGUAGUCCACACCGUAAACGAUGAAUGCCAGUCGUCGGGUUGCUUAGCGAUUCGGUGACACACUAACGGAUUAAGCAUUCCGCUGGG
rnacentral:rRNA from 1 species